rnacentral:rRNA from 1 species
GCGCGAAAACUUUACAAUGCGGGAAACCGCGAUAAGGGGACACUGACUGCCAGCACCAUGUGCUGGCUGUCCGCAUGUAUAAAUCACAUGUGUCAGCAAGGGCCGGGCAAGACCGGUGCCAGCCGCCGCGGUAACACCGGCGGCCCGAGUGGUGGCCAUUAUUAUUGGGUCUAAAGGGUCCGUAGCCGGUUUGAUCAGUCUUCCGGGAAAUCUGACAGCUCAACUGUUAGGCUUCUGGGGGAUACUGUCAGACUUGGAACCGGGAGAGGUAAGAGGUACUACAGGGGUAGGAGUGAAAUCUUGUAAUCCUUGUGGGACCACCAGUGGCGAAGGCGUCUUACCAGAACGGGUUCGACGGUGAGGGACGAAAGCUGGGGGCACGAACCGGAUUAGAUACCCGGGUAGUCCCAGCCGUAAACGAUGCUCGCUAGGUGUCUGGGAUGGUGCGACCGUUUCAGGUGCCGCAGGGAAGCCGUGAAGCGAGCCACCUGGGAAGUACGGCCGCAAGGCUGAAACU